UGAGUAACCUGCCCUUAACUCUGGGAUAAGCCUGGGGAAACUGGGUCUAAUACCGGAUAUGACUCCUCAUCGCAUGGUGGGGGGGUGGAAAGCUUUUUUGUGGUUUUGGAUGGACUCGCGGCCUAUCAGCUUGUUGGUGAGGUAAUGGCUCACAAGGCGACGACGGGUAGCCGGCCUGAAAGGAUGACCGGCCACACUGGGACUGAGACACGGCCCAGACUCCGUACGGGAGGCAG
rnacentral:rRNA from 1 species